CUACGGGACGCUGCAGUGGGGAAUAUUGGACAAUGGGGGAAACCCUGAUCCAGCAAUGCCACGUGUGUGAAGAAGGCCUGCGGGUUGUAAAGCACUUUCGGCUGGGAGGACUGCUUCUAGCACUAAUAUUGUUGGAAGUUGACGUUACCUUCAGAAGAAGCACCGGCUAACUCCGUGCCAGCAGCCGCGGUAAUAGCGGAGGGUGCAAGCGUUAAUCGGAAUUACUGGGCGUAAAGCGCGCGUAGGCGGCUAGAUCAGUCGGGUGUGAAAGCCCCGGGCUUAACCUGGGAACUGCAUCCGAUACUGUCUAGCUUGAGUACAGGAGAGGAGAGUGGAAUUCCACAUGUAGCGGUGAAAUGCGUAGAUAUGUGGAGGAACACCAAUGGCGAAGGCAGCUCUCUGGCCUGAUACUGACGCUGAGGUGCGAAAGCGUGGGGAGCAAACAGGAUUAGAUACCCCCGUAGUC
rnacentral:rRNA from 1 species